GGAAUCUUCGGCAAUGGACGAAAGUCUAACCGAGCAACGCCGCGUGAGUGAAGAAGGUUUUCGGAUCGUAAAACUCUGUUGGUAGAGAAGAACGUUGGUGAGAGUGGAAAGCUCAUCAAGUGACGGUAACUACCCAGAAAGGGACGGCUAACUACGUGCCAG
rnacentral:rRNA from 1 species